GAAGGGGGCUAGCGUUGUUCGGAAUAACUGGGCGUAAAGCGCACGUAGGCGGAAUGUUAAGUGAGGGGUGAAAUCCCAGGGCUCAACCCUGGAACUGCCUUUCAUACUGGCAAUCUAGAGAUCGAGAGAGGUGAGUGGAAUUCCGAGUGUAGAGGUGAAAUUCGUAGAUAUUCGGAGGAACACCAGUGGCGAAGGCGGCUCACUGGCUCGAUACUGACGCUGAGGUGCGAAAGCGUGGGGGAGCAAACAGGAUUAGAUACCCUGGUAGUCCACGCCGUAAACGAUGGAAGCUAGCUGUCAGGUAGUUUACUACUUGGUGGCGCAGCUAACGCAUUAAGCUUCCCCGCCUGGGAGUACGGUCGCAAGAUUA
rnacentral:rRNA from 1 species